rnacentral:lncRNA from 1 species
AUGGAAAUCAGCUUUAUUACUAUCCCUGAAUGCUCUAUCAAAAUGUCAGAGAAAACUUCAGUGUAUAAGAGAAACUCUAUUAUCCACAUAAUUAUGACCUGUCUGCUUAGUUUUUAUCAUAAAUUUGAUUCAUUUCGGACGGAUAAUGCAGGAAAGUUUAAAUCGAUUGCGUUCUUAUCCGAGCAAACAGCAAGCCAAAACUUCAGUCUCUACAAUUUAAUUCGGUUCCGCAAAAAACAAAAAACAAAAACCCUGCUCUAUGAAAAGAAACACACAGCAGCUGCUGCUCUGAGACAGAAGAGCAAAAGAGCAACAGCUCACCCAAGGCUCAUUGCUAAGUUUUAUUUUGUGAAGAUAUGACAGCAAAAGAGACCUGUGACAAUUUUGGCGACUGGCCUCGCUACUUCUUGUUCUGUGUCUGGGUCGUCGACAUUGGCAUGAUAUUUUUGGUUUAUCACUUGAAAACACGUUUGAAAGAAAUAACUGAAAAAUUCCAAAGGGACAGACAUGAAGAAGAGGACUAUAUCAACUACAGAACAAGCUGAAGCAAUAAUUGAACAAUUAAUGUAAAACUACUCCCAUACAAAUAUGACCGGACAAAGAAUUGACUUCUUGUAUUGGAGUGUCUUAAUAUAGACCUAUUUCAUUAAAUGAAUUUAUGUUCAUCACAUUCAAAUGUAUAAUUUGUGUGGCAGUCUGCAGUAAAUUAUAAUAAGUACAGCUUGAUAAUGUGUUGCUCAGCUAUUCUGAUAAAAAAAAUACUUUGCUUAUACUGAAAAGAUAAUACACUUGUAUAAUAUCUAAAUACAACGAUUGUAUAUAACCUUUUUUACCUGUCACAAAAAAGCCUGAGUUUCAGGUGGGUCUGGAUAUUAUCCCUAAGUAAACGCUUAAAGGAACUGUUCACUCAAAAUGUGAGAAGAUUCAAUAUGCUAUAUUUUUGUGUAAAAAAUAAUGAUAAAAGUCUCAACUUCUUUUGUUGACACCUGUGAAGGAUUUUUUUAAUUAAUCAUAACAUUUCUUUUUCUUGCAGUCUUAACAUUUGUAUGCUUUUGAAUACUAAAUGUCCCCAACACUUAAUUUUUAUCCAUGUGUUGCAAUAAAAAGAUGCUGAUGCUGGCCAAAUGGGUGUCCUAAGCAGGAUUGUAUUGUUGUGCCCCCCUCUCUCAAAUAUUAUCAAAGUACAAAAAAAAAAAAACUACUAUGGGGUCGAUAAAAAGUAAAUAUAUAAAAGUAUAUAAAUAUAAAAUAUAAAAGUAAAUAAUAUAAAAGUAAAUAAAUAAAUUGUAAUUAAAUUGUAUUAUUUACAAAUUAAAGUUGUAGCUCUAGACAGUUACAUAUGGCUAUUAUUUUAUUAAUACAGUUGUCUGAUUGAUUUUAUAGUCUCAAGAAUUCGGAAAUCAGGCAAAAGAAAAUUAAGCAGUUUACUCAAUAAAACCAUGGUUAAUUUUUGUAAGUAUUGUGAUGUCCUCAUGUUUUUUGGUGAAGAAUUUAUGGAGGCUGUGUCAUCUAUAGCAAAAAGGUGGCCAAAAAUUAAAUGUUUGGUCAAAAGCCUAAAAGGAUAUGAUCGUCAAAAUUUGUUAUGGUUUUACUGGUUAUAAUGGGACUUGUAUUGGUUUUAAUAGAUACUAUAAUGGACCCUGUUGGUCUCUACUGGUAAUUGGUCACUUUCUAUUAAUUGUAAUUGUAAUGGUAAUUGGCUUGUUAAAACCAAUAAAUCCUAAUGCAAUAUGUCCCAAAACACACCACAGGAAACCACUAUUUAAUGGUUUUAAUGGUUAAAAGUUGAGUGUAAUGGUAUUUGUGAUUUAUUUGUGAUGAUAGGCCUAUUACAAUUUUCUGUGAUGGUUCUAUUUCUUGUUUUUUUUUCUAGCAGGGUUGGCUCAUGUUUUUAUAUAUUGCAUUUUAAGUUGUUGUGGUGGUAGAAAAACACUGGUAACAAAUGGAGAGAAACGGGUUAAAUUCAUGGAAUAGGAGAAAAUAUUGUAUUGCUGUCUUUGGAUGUCAAAAUCGGAAUGCAAAUCAUUUCAGUUUUUGCAAACAGUGAUGACUUUUUUUGUGGGCGGAGCCUAUCUGGUUGGAGAAAAUGCCAGUUUAAACCUACAGUCUAUGGUUUUAACCUCCGUCUCUCUCUCUAGUGAAGCCAACACGGAAGUGACUUAAACUGUAAUUCGUCAACUGGCCGCUAGAGGCUUGCUGAUUGACUCCCCAUGUUAAAAUGGCAAACAUUACAGCAGAAAAAAAUGUGUUAGCAGCCUGGUUCAAAAAAUGAUUUUGGUCCAUAUUUGCAAUUUGUAUUUGCAAGAAAAAGUGUCAGAAUUUUGAGAUAAAAUAGGUAAAUGUUAUGUAAAAGUUACAGGUUUAAAUAGUAUUUCAUGCAUUUACUGUAGAGCUAAUACAAUAUGUCCCAUAUGUGAAUAUUAUAUAGAGCUAUCGUUUAAAUCUAAUUUAUGCUUAAAAGUAGAGUAAUCAUAGCAGGUUUCAUCUAUAGUUUGUUCAUUUAAAUGUCUGCGUUUAGCUUCAAAUGACGUCUUUGACGACAGUUUUAUAUAAAAACUAUUAGCCAUUCCAAUUCUGACAAUACUGUCACAGGGUGAGUGAGUCUGAAAUGGAGUGGAUGUUAAUCUGCAGGGAGGAAAAAAUGUCCUUUAUUUGUCUUUUAGUUUCUCAUAAGUAAUUCAUCCUGUAGUGAACAAGCCAAAGUACACAGGGUCAAGCCUGCUGCAGCUGCUGCCAGGAGACACACAUUCCACCAACAACAUGCAUGACAAGAUGCUUCAGUUCACAUCCACACCGAAGUAAAUGUAGAAGAAGAGCCGAGAUACAAAGCAUGUAUAUUCACUAGACACAAAUGUUAGUGUGGCUAACUCUAGUAACUACAGUCUAUGGUUUUAACCUCCGUCUCUCUCUCUAGUGAAGCCAACACGGAAGUGACUUAAACUGUAAUUCGUCAACUGGCCGCUAGAGGCUUGCUGAUUGACUCCCCAUGUUAAAAUGGCAAACAUUACAGCAGAAAAAAAUGUGUUAGCAGCCUGGUUCAAAAAAUGAUUUUGGUCCAUAUUUGCAAUUUGUAUUUGCAAGAAAAAGUGUCAGAAUUUUGAGAUAAAAUAGGUAAAUGUUAUGUAAAAGUUACAGGUUUAAAUAGUAUUUCAUGCAUUUACUGUAGAGCUAAUACAAUAUGUCCCAUAUGUGAAUAUUAUAUAGAGCUAUCGUUUAAAUCUAAUUUAUGCUUAAAAGUAGAGUAAUCAUAGCAGGUUUCAUCUAUAGUUUGUUCAUUUAAAUGUCUGCGUUUAGCUUCAAAUGACGUCUUUGACGACAGUUUUAUACAAAAACUAUUAAGCAUUCCGAUUCUGACAAUACUGUCACAGGGUGAGUGAGUCUGAAAUGGAGUGGAUGUUAAUCUGCAGGGAGGAAAAAAUGUCCUUUAUUUGUCUUUUAGUUUCUCAUAAGUAAUUCAUCCUGUAGUGAACAAGCCAAAGUACACAGGGUCAAGCCUGCUGCAGCUGCUGCCAGGAGACACACAUUCCACAAGUAGAAGAAGAGCCGAGAUCAAAGCAUAGUAUAUUCACUAGACACAAAUGUUGUGUGGCAACUCUGAAUUUUUCUGUAAUCACUGUUGAAAGACCAAGCUUGCAAUCAACACCUCGGUGGUUCCAGAGCAUUUGCACUAAACAUACAUCAGAGCGGUUUCUCACGAAUCUUUAACAAUGACAUUAGAUGCAUUUCAUCUAUUUUAUUGAACAUUCAUAAAUGAGCUUUAAAAGCUUAAAUCACAAACACAAGAAAACAACUUUUUUGUAUGUACUCACUCUUGAAACAUUGUAUUGUUGGCUCUUGUAUGAUAUAUUGCUUGUGAUACUGUAAGAAAUUGCUUCCUUAUUUUGUAUUUUGCUUUGGAUUAAAGCUUAUACUAAAAUAUUAAAUGUUAAUACAAAUAUCUAAAUAAAAGCAAAUGAUAACACUGUCAAGUAUAAUAUUGAUAUUUUGGUCACAAGUUACAGUAUACAUAUGCAUAUAAACACAAUUACAUUAUAAAACAUUAUUAAAAUAAAAAGCUGUUAUUUGAAAGUGUAUUAGUGUUUCACAAUAUUACUGUUUUUUAGAUCAAAUAAAUGCAGACUUUCUGAGACUUAUUUCACCUAAAAAUGGUAGUGUAGUCACUAGCAAUUUAAUAUUGCAACCGUAUACUGUUUCAUGCAUAUUUUCCAUAAAACUGAAGACUCUGAAAGCAUCUGUUCCAGCUGAAACACAUUCAUGCAGGUACUGCACACCUGGAAGUGUUACCGCUCAGGGCACGUCAUCUUUGAAGUUUUUAUGAGUGUUUAUGAUGUAUGGUUAUUUAUCGGUUCUGCUGCUUGGUGACAUCAGGACCUCAGGACUGACUUCAUGGUAGAGAGGCUGAGUCCUGUGUCUCCAAACCACCAGCCCCACGCGCACCACUAACACAAUACAGGCCAACACGAGGAGCACCGCUACGGAAAAUAAAACCAUGAUACUGUAAGCACAAUGUAGCCUUAAUAAGUAACAUCUUUAUGUGUGGCCUUAUGGUUUUAUGAGUCUGUGAUUUAACAACGCUAUAUUUAUGGUAAACCAAAAAGACAUGGGAUGUGUUUAUCACUGACUAACCUGAAAAGCAGCGUUCCG